rnacentral:misc_RNA from 1 species
GUUUUUGUUAAUCUGUCGCUCAGAGUACUUUACAUUAUAUAACAUAAAAAAGAAAUUAAUUACUUGGUUGUCACAUUGUUUAAGAGAUUGUUUUAGAUCGAUGGUGCCAUUCAAUUCAAAAUUAUGUCUUCCAGGAAAAGGAAAAUACUGACUGAUAACGAAAUCUUAGACAAACUUGAUGAAGAAUAUUCCGAUUCAGAUAAUGAAAACCAAAACUUGAGUUAUGGAGACAGGGACGAUGAAGAUAAUCCAGCAGGAUACUUUACUAAGCUAUCUCGGAAAGUAUUGAAUUCUAGAGGUGAGCUGAUAGAUAAAGAUAUAAGCCAGGAUAACUGUGACGAAGAUUUCGAGUUGAUACCAUCUAGUUUCAUUCAAUCUACAAGGAAGAGGAUAUCCUCCAUUCCUGCUAAAAAAGAAAUUGAACCAACGAUAAAGCAGGAACCUGAUAUUGAAAACAAUUACCUUUUCAUCAAACUAUCUCUACCUUCGAGGAAGAAAAGGGCAAUAGAGAUAGAUGAACACUACAAAAGACAGUUAUUGCUGCUGCUGAGAGAACUUAAGAUUUAAAAUCAAGUAUUUUUGAAAUUAUUCCUGAAAUCUCGAAUGCCUCGAAGUCGAACAAAAGGAAAAUUGAAUAUAAUCCUGUAUGAAGUGAUACUGACACUAGAUUUUGUAGUUAAAUUGGUAAAUUUUCUCCAGUUCUCCAAGAUUUUAAGUCUUCAUAGGUCAUGAAGUGCGAGUCGCCUUAUCAUUUCUAGAUACUAUUUCAGCCUGACAAUCACAUCGACGUAAUAGUUAGACAGAGCUUAUUGUAUGUUCAUCAGAAGAGAAGAUCUUUUAAAGCUAUUGAUGUUCCUCUCAGGUUACUGCAAGGUUCCGAAAAAAAUGGUGUAUUGGGAAAAAACUGGGGUUUCCAACAAUUCUAUAAUUUCUGAAAUCAUGUGGUGUGAUACUUUCCAAAAUGUCCUAUCAGGGAUUCAUUUUUCGGAUAAUGCCGUAGAAUCUGAUGAUAGCUUUUUUAAAGUCCACCUUCUAUUUUAAAUAUUAACAGUCAAAUUAUGAAGUACAUCCCAGUGUCCCAAUCUUUAAGCGUGAAUGAGUAAUGAAACCACGUUAUGGAUCACACAGACAAGCCGUAUAUUCGUGGGAAGCCACUGAAUUAAGUUUAUGUGUAUGGGCACUUUGCAGUAGCUCUGGUCAUAAUGUGUUCGUUGAACCUUAUUGUGGUAGACGCACUGAGAUUGAAAAGUGCAUGGGUUGUUAGUGUCCAGAUGUGGUUAUGGCACUUGUCAAUAAGACAAAAGCGUCGCCGGGGAGCCAAGUUUUAUGUUAUAAUUUAUUUACUUCUAUUCCUCUUUUAAAGCAGCUACGUUCUAAAGGUAUUAAUGGAACUGGGACAAUGCGCCAAACAGACUAGGGUAUAUUCUUUUGACAAGCAAAAAAUGGUCUUGAAAGAAUUUGAGAGGGAAAAUAUGGACUCUAAACUCUAUUCAUAUAUUGCUGUAUUUGUGUGGAAAGAUAAUAAGGUGAAGUACUUAGCCAGAAAGAGCUUCAAAUGUAUUUCUUCUUUCAAUGCAAGAAGGUGAUAUAGAGUAAAUAAGCAAUAUGACAAUCUGAUAGUUCCUGAUAUUGUUUGGAUAAUUAAUAAAGACCUGUAAGGAGUUGAUCUGUUAGAUGUUAUGACGGACAUCUAUCGAGGGAGAAUUUGAUGCAAGAAAUGGUGAGGGCCAAUUUUUAACUGGUCGGUUAGUGUUUCACCUCUUCAAGCGUGGCGACUUAUGAAUGAUAAAACAAAUCCAUAUAUUAGUUACAUAGAGUUAAUCCGUCAGCUGGUACCAAAGAAGGUCAUAAAACAUGGAAUGCAGAGAUAGAGACCCGGUCCCAACCUCAUUUUGAGAGGAUCAGGUGGCGAAAGCUUCAUAAGCGAUAAUGACCCCCACUUUAUCAGGUCUACCUCUCAAUUAAGACGUUUUAAAGGUAUAUUGUGCGAGUGAAGGGCAGAAUCUCAGUGUUUGUGGUGCAAUGUUUAAUUUUAUCCAAUUUGUUUUACUAUGAACAAUAACAAUUAAAUUAUUAUAAUUAUAUUUUUGUUGAAAUUAUAAGUCAACCAAUUAGUUCAAAUUUGUCAA